rnacentral:misc_RNA from 1 species
UGGGUCUGGUUUCUGAUAGUUUGAAUACUUCUCAGAAUCAUGUGGGGAGUCAAAGAAAUAGACCAGGUAUGUCUGGAGAAAGACAAAAAAAUACUCCAAAAGGACAGAUGGGUGACCCUGCUGUUUUAACAGAACCAUCAACAGACCAAGAAGGGGUUACAGAAGAUAGAGGCAGUUCAUUGGUUGAUUCCAAGACUCCAGAUU